CGACCUACAUGCGCUUACGCGUUUCCUAUGACAAACUGAGUGAUGGUAGAAAUUACAGGUUUGUGCAAAGGAAGAGUUUUGGAGCGUUUUGGGAGGGGAGGGGCCGGAAUGGAUGGCAAAAGUGCCGACUGAGCCACAAUCCUGCUGUGGUUUACCACCAAAAUAUAAACCUAUCCCCAGCUAAAGAGUGUGCCACUCGUGCGCCAUGGAAGACGUUUGGCUUCAGCGACUCCAGAUAUUGCCAAAAGUCUUAGCCCGGAAGAGCCGCUCUUUUCUCGGGGCCGUUUUGGCGCUCGUUUUCCAUCAACACCGAGCUGCGGGCGUGGAAAAAUCCCCCACAACUAUUAAUCACUCGGGGCGGACAUGGACAGCAUCCCACUCCCACACCAGCCUUUGUCUUCUCAAACUACAACUUGAGCGAUGAGAAGCUGUCACUCGGAUUAUAAGGCUCGACGUGACCGUGCGCUGGAGGCAAAUCCACCCUCGCCUUUCGCCACCGCACCUGAACUUUUCCCUGACCCGGGCAGAGGCAUGUCGAGUCGAAUGGGAAGUCAUUUUAGGGUACAAAAACAAGGAGAAGAUGUAAACCAAAGGCCCUCAGCUGGGCUCCUUAUCAUUGUCAGCGAAGAGACCCCUGGAUGUUGGCCAGACGGCGGUCCAUAUCUUCCCCACAAUGUUGACACUCGGAGCUCCUAACAGCCAGGGCUUGGGUUACCGAGAGACUCAGCCGAAGACAGCUCUUUCUGCGAGGUUUACGCCGGCCAACAUCAAGGCUAAUGCGAAAUUCAACGCCUUAAGCUGACUGGGGCAAUCCCUCAUGGACGCAGAGCAGCACUGGGGCGGACUAGAACCGCGGAUUUGUGCUUA